UUUUACCUUCAUUAUUUUUUUCUCCGACCUCAUUUGACCUGUUCCGUUUUCCGUUUGUGCACUCGCUGAACUACGGCAAACUGUUUUUGCACCCCUCCCCGUUCCCUUCCCUAAUGAGCUUCCUCUGUAGACUCGACAAGUACAAGCGAGCUGCUGAAGCCUCAUUGAACAAUAACGCAAGCUGCUCGGCCCCCAUCGUUGCCACACAACUCCUCUGGCUGGUUGCGUUUCCCUGGCUCAUCUUUGCUCCGUGUGCACUUGCGGCCGCGCACGCAAGCGCUCGCUAGCCUUUUUGUCCUUUUACAACUACUGUAAUUUUCAUGAGAUGAUAUGAAGCGCUCACUCUUGGAGUGUCCUGUCAAGAAGUGCAUUAGCGGCCCCGCUGACCCGUUGGACUCCUCACAAGCUGGCUCUCAUUUAGUAUUGCUGCUGUGAGGCCCGAAGCUUCCGAUGUCACUGUAGGAUUCGUCAUUGUGGAGGCGGCAUUUGUGCAAAUGAUUGACCAAAGGUGAAAUAAAUAAAUGGCUUGUGCUCUUUGA